UCUCCUGAUGGUUAGCGGCGGACGGGUGAGUAACACGUAGGCAACCUGCCUGCAAGACCGGGAUAACCCACGGAAACGUGAGCUAAUACCGGAUAUCUCAUUUCCUCUCCUGAGGGGAUGAUGAAAGACGGAGCAAUCUGUCACUUGCGGAUGGGCCUGCGGCGCAUUAGCUAGUUGGUGAGGUAACGGCUCACCAAGGCGACGAUGCGUAGCCGACCUGAGAGGGUGAACGGCCACACUGGGACUGAGACACGGCCCAGACUCCUACGGGAGGCAGCAGUAGGGAAUCUUCCGCAAUGGGCGAAAGCCUGACGGAGCAACGCCGCGUGAGUGAUGAAGGUUUUCGGAUCGUAAAGCUCUGUUGCCAGGGAAGAACGUCCGGUAGAGUAACUGCUAUCGGAGUGACGGUACCUGAGAAGAAAGCCCCGGCUAACUACGUGCCAGCAGCCGCGGUAAUACGUAGGGGGCAAGCGUUGUCCGGAAUUAUUG
rnacentral:rRNA from 1 species